rnacentral:lncRNA from 1 species
AAAACAGGAAACCUCAAAUUAAGUACUGAGUUAUUACAUAAAUCGGAGUUCUUGAGUAGCAAAUAAAGUUCACAAAAUAAAGUGCAGCGGAUAAUCGAUGUCGUCGGUACUGAGGAAAUGGGCAAGGCCUAGCCCACUACUCCUCGUGCUCCUCUCCUGCCGGAGCAACAACCCACUCGACCGUCCAACCCGGUGGCAGGGUGGCAGGCCAAGUCACACCAUCAACCAAUUCCUGCAUGGUACCUGCAAAAAUGGUGCCACAAGCAAGGCUGAGUAUACUAAUACUCAGCUAGACUUAACCGGUGUGAGGAGUCUACUCCUCUACCUCUAGACCAUGCAGCUGUUUGGCUGAGGGGUUUGGUUUGCCAAAAGCACUAGCUGUUUCUAAAAUCAAUUUUUAGCCUUUCAAGUUCUAUCAUCAUUAACUUAGCUAGGUUUGCUCCUUCUAAGCAUACAUGGUAACAACCAAUUAGUUCAAUCAACGAAUUAUCUCAUGUAACCACAUUUCACUUCUUACUCGAUGCAGUACAAGGAAUCAAGCAGCCUCAUUAGCUGCGAGAAGCAGACGAUUCGAAUCGAGUUUUAAACCUUGCAAGGUAAACCUAAACACACGGCAUGUCAGGGUACUCCGACCCCGCACAUGACAACCGUCCCCAUCAAUUCCCCGUUCGCGUCCAGGCCUCACCGCCUUGGCAUACAAUGCUCCACUGACCCCGGCUGCCGCCGUGCAGUGACCGCACUUGUACCCACCAUAGCUAGCAUGGGAGACCCAGUCUCAGGUCGCAUGACGGAUAAAGUCUGCGCCCGGCUUCACUCAGGUACUAGGUUUACCGGUUACCAUUUUUCCCGGCAUGUGCUUAGUACGUUCAAAAGCUUGACUCAGGUAUCCACACAUUAAUCCUUAAUUCAUUUUUCCCGUCUCAUGGACAAGGCAUCCUCCCUGGAUCCAAAUCCAUAGACCAACAUAGAUCCCGUUAUCAAGAUGAAUACAAUCAAUUCCUGACCUCGCGCGAGUGCUAGAAAAAUCACUCGACUUCUACCGAGAUCCUGAUUAGCAAGCAGCUACUCGACCUGGCAUACUAGUAUUCAUCUCAAAAAGGAAUCCUAAGUUUAUGCAACUAGAGGUUUCAAGCAACUCCUACACUUAAGUGCACAUUGCAAUCCUACAAGCAUUAAGUGUAGUAAAGUAGCAUAUAAUAACAUGGUUAUGCAUAAAACCGGGGCUUGCCUUCAAUUGCUGGGGCUGCGGGGAGAUCCUCAAUAGCAGCCUCUGAAGCCUGCUCCUGGUCCUCCUCUUGGACAGGUCCUUGCUCGGGGAUGAGCACGUACUCUCCGUCGGCAAGAUUACAAUCUAAUGAAUGCAAUGCGUAAGAUAUAUGCAUGAUAUGAUAUGUGCUUUUAGAAAUUACAACUUUAAAGGUGUAUGAUCUUUUGAGUUAAAACAAGUUAACUUUACUUAUGUAAAACCCUUAGUGGUAUACUUGGUAAAUUGGGUUAUACUUAGCUAAGGUAAGGGGUAGGUUUAUUUUUUUGGGGUUCCACUGAAUUCCUUUUAAGUCUUAGGGAUAAAUGAUAAGUUCUCAAGUUAGACUUAUUGGGGUGAGGUUUAUUUCUUCUUCUCUUUUCUUUUAUUCUCUUUAAUGUUUUGGAGUAGGUCUGAACUACAAGUUGCUUUUAUAAAAUUCUAAAAAUUCUGCAAAAAUUGCAGUGGCUUGUUACUGGUGUGUUUUGCUCUGUCUCAAAAUUUGGGGAUCAGAAGGUGAAUAGUUUUCUCUGGACAAAAUUAUCAAACUCUAGGGCAGAAGGGGUGCUUUGAACUACAACUACUAUUUAAUAGUGGGUAAUUCUCUAAAACUUAUUUUUGCUGGCUUUUAGGUGUUAUAACAUGACUUGAUACAAAUUUUUAAUCAUUAAUACCUCUUAAUAAAUUUUCUAUGGUUUUCUCAAGUUUCUAGCCAAAUGGGUGCUUUCUACUACCACUAUAUUUGAAAAAUAUCAAACAACAGAGUUCUUAUUUUUCUUGGUUAUUAUUUUGUGCAAGAGCAAUCAUUCUGAAGUUUGGCUUCUUUUAGCUUAAGGGAAGGGGUGGUUUGCAUUAUUUGAAUUAAGUGGUCUUUCUCUUUAAUCAUUAGCAAAAGGUAUGGGUUUACUUCUUCUUCAUGGGUUUGCAUUUUUCUCUGGUAGUUUACCUCAUCACGAGCUUAGCAAAUUUUUGGUUGCCUAUUAUCACAUUAAAAGGGGUUGUUCAUGAUUUAUUUGGAAAAUGCCUUAUUAUCACCUUGUAUUUAUUUUCUUUACUUAAAAAGUUGGGCUGAGGUGCUCUGUAUUUUUGUAGUGGGGCUCUGGUGGUUAUAAGUCCACUAGAUUUUUAUUAAUCAUUUUGGUUAUAGUUUUGUAACUCUAAUAAUUGAUUUUCAGUCUAUAUGAGGCUAAACAAAUCAUCUUAAUUUAAAACUGGUCCAAAUUAAUGGUCUCUGUAUAUUUCCUAGGUUCUCUGUUGCAUAAGUAAACUAGGAAAAAUAUUAUUAAUCACUGUUCAUUAAUUUCUAAGGCCUUUCUGAUUUUCUCUAAGUUUUGGACAAUUUAGCUUUAAAUGAAAAACUACAUCAUAUUUUUCAAUGCUGGGUUUCCUACUAUUUUUAAACAGUGCCUAAAUAAGGUUUAAACAUCUACAAUUUUUCUUAAGCUCAGCACAAAGGAAAAACAAAUUUUCCUUAAUUAAACAAGUUUUAGUGGGUUUCUGUUUUUAAAUUUAAACUUUAAAAUUUAGAACAGAAAGCAUGGGGUUUACUAUUUUUAAAUGAUAGAUCAUAAAAUUCAGAAGCUAGCAAAAUUGGUUUGACAACUUUUUAUUAAGAUUUCAUCAAGUUAUGGAUUUUCUAAGUUCUCUGGUCAUUUUAAAAAGAAUAACAGAAUUGAUUAAAUGGAAAUCCACUUUGCACUGGGGUCCCUGGCGGUUUUCUAAGUUUUCUUCGCGAAUCAGUCCUUAGGUUACUAUUCACAUGAGUCACUGACAUUACAGAAAACCCCUCGGGUUCUACCAAUCCUAACCCGAGGUCCUUCUUCUACCUCAAACAGUAACCGCGGCGGAGAAAAGGGCGGAGGGGCUUACCGGCGGCAAGAUUGCUCCGGUGAAGUGGUCGAGGACGAAGGGGAGGUCUCGGGGAUCACAACGGUGUGCGGAACGCCGUCGGAGAUGGCCGGAGUCGGUCGGUCCACGCGCGCAGGCGGGGAUGCUCGUCGGCGGCGAGGAGACCGGCCUGGUCACGGCGAGAUAGUUCAAUCAAAUAGGUCAGGGAGGUCCACGGGAUGCCAGAGAAGAUAUGCGCGAAAGGAAUUGGGCGGAGACUCACUGGAUAGCUCGGUCCACGCGCGACGGCGGAAGACCGAAGUCCGGUGAGGUCAAUCUCUGGCCUCCGGUGAAAUCCGGUCGGGUCCGAGGGCUUGGCAAGCUUCACGGGCUACUGGCGGAGCUAGCCGAAGCACUGGCUGGGCUUGAGGGUGGCUGGAGUUGGCUGGCCACGGCGGCCGAAGCUCUGGCGGCAAUGGCAGGCGAAAUUAAGCUUGCCGGAGCUAAGGAAAGGUGGCUGGCCAGAGAGGGUGAGUGCGGGGCGAAGAGAGGUGCGCCCGGGGAGGCUUUAUAGGCGCGGGCGGGCACAGCCGAGGGCGUGGGCGCGCGGCGGACUUGACCGGACGCCGGGGUGAGCGCGCGCGCGGGUUGGGCGAGCUCUGGCGUGCCGACCAGGGUCGAACACGUGUGCCCGUGCGUUCUGCCCAAGUUCUGGCGCGUGUGGUCGCUCAUCCGAGCCUGCUCUCGCCUUGGUCAGUGCACAAAACCUCUUCUCCUCCCUACAAGCUACCAUUCUUGUGUGGGGGUCAUAGGAUUUUGCCUACUGGUUGCAGAGAUAUGGAGCGAGGAAAUCUGGUCUGUCUCCCUGCCCAAACCCGAGGCAAAUCCAAGGUUUUGUCGUGUCUAGGGCUCGCGUCCCAAUGCCAUCUUCUGGCACACGACAGAGGGGUUAGUUAGACACAAUUUUGUCAAUGGGGCCAUUACUAUUCGAGUUAGGGAUCAAGGUGAACAUCCCUGAUCUUUGGCUCAAGGUCUGAAUUUCAGAAUUCUGAAAUUUAGAAAUCCCAAUGAGUCCCCACAUGAGAAGCUUGAUUUGGGGUUUUAUUUGAGUUAUUUUGGCUAAGCUUUCUCAACAUUUCUUGUUGCCCAUUAAAUAUUCUUUAAUUUUCAUAAUUGGCUCAAAUCAUAAUUUUAAACUUUUCAUUCCCUUUUUCUUAUUUUCUUGAAUUUUGCUCAUGGGGCUCACUUUAGGGUUUUUAAUUAGGGUUGCACAUUCUUAUCUUUUCAAAGACUCAAUUGUUUUGAUCAUGUUACUUUUAAGUAUAUACUUGGUGAAUUCUCUAUUACUUAAGUUGUUUUGAUGCUCAUGCUUACUUUGGUUCACAUAAAAUGAUGGUUCUUGGUUUGGCAUUUGAGAAAAACCCUGAGUGACACUGGGGUGUCACAGUACGCCACUAGGGCCAUUGGAUGAGAGAUCUACCGCACAGAUUUAAAAUAUCCAAACUGUUUUCCAUCCGCCAGAUCGGGAUCGAACGACCACGGUUGCAUCAUCGCCAACCGGUACCCGAAUCAGAUCUUGACCGUUAAUCCCUAUCAACGGUCGCACUCCUUCCCCCAACCCUCCUACCUACGACGCACAUGCGGCGACGGCCGCAGAGCCCACUGCAGAGGAGUUCGCCGUCGAACUCCGUCCGACGAAUUGGGGCCCCAAAUUCCAAAUCAAUAGGUGUUGUACGUAGAGAAGGAUGAGGCGAAGCUAUGGGUUAGCAGACUACCUGCGAGAAAGGCGCCCACAAGGCUGGCCACGGCAUGGUGUGAUCGUCGGUGAUUUCCCAAGUCUGGUGAGAAAUUGGGUUGGAAACGGGGGUCGUCGUCGUCCGUCAAUGCCACGAUGAGCCAGCACACACCCAGGCGGCCAUCCCUGACCACAGUGCGGACUUCAAUCGGCGAUGCAGGCCAAGGACUGCGACGGUGACUCCAUUCUCACCUCCCAGAUCAACGGACGGAGUCGUUUCUUCCCCAUAAACUACAGAGCGGCGGCGGGCUUUAGUUUGUACGGCGGCGAGCCCUUGUAGCUGGAGGGCGAGGGCGAGGGCGAGGGCGGUUCGGUAAGUAGAAGGGCAACAUGGGCGGCUUGGGCGUCUGAGGCACCUUCACCGGUGACGCUGGCAGGCCAACGCCCAGCUUUGUUGUUCACCACUGCCACCGCCGGCUCCCGGACUGCAAUCGACUUGCAGCAACAGAGGCCCUUGGCACCCGACGGAUCAAGCGGUGGGAGCACAAAAUUUGGAAUCGAAACUAGGCUAGUCAAAUAUUUACCUCGGUUUCUAGAACCCGUCAUUGUAUAGCGGACUCCUGACGGACGCCAUCAGCUCGCACCAAAUCUAUUGCCACGGAAGGGGGCCUUCAUUGCUUGUUCUAGACGCUUGGGAAAAACCAGCCCCAAGUACGAUGUACACCGGUGAGCACCCCUGAUCCCCCACCCAAAUCCGAGCAAUCGGUGCUCAGCGGUGCUUUUACUCGCCGAUGGCUUAUGGGAGGUCGCAGGGGCCAUCUUAUAUGUACCUGGGCAGGGCCAUGGGGGCGGCAGACUCCUAGGAUUCCGGUGGGGGUUUGGCCGGUGCAACCCCCCGGAUUUGAUGGGAUAGCAGCGGCACCGGGUGUGUUUGUUGCCAGGAAUCACGCAGUCUGUUGGAGUCCUACACGGGGAAGACAACGCUGACGGGUUGGCCCACGAUGUCAGAGACUCGCCAGCAAGCGCGUGGUAGUCUGAGAGGGCAC